GGCAGUUAUUUUAUUUUACAAAACAUUUAUAUUGCAGGUCUUCAAGUUCUGUUUGUUUGGUACUACGGUAUUUGAACUUAGGCAAGGAGCUGCUGUAUCUUUUUUAUUUGAGGCCAACAAACUGCGUUACGCGAAGUCUCCUGUAAAGCUGUGAAGGCAACUAUUCAAUACGCUCACCAUUGUUUGGAACUAGUGUACAUAGCCUGAACUUAUUGGCCUUAUGAUUUACUCCUCAUGUUUCAUUAUCUCACCUGAUGACAAGCUCAAAAUUGCAAAUGGUUCAUCGCAAUUCCGGAAAUCAUUCUGAUGACAGCAUUUUGGAUUUGAACAGUCCCAACUCUCCUUCUCACAGCUCAAGUCUCUCUGGCUCUUCAAAUUCAUUGGCUAACACAUCCGCUCCUGCCUUCAGUCACGAUGACAUUUCUGUUAUCGGUCCUGCUUCAUCCUCGGCUCGCGAAAGAUCAAACCUCCGAGGACGACGUUUGAGUUCAGUUUCUGCCAAAAGAGGUUCGAGAAGCGUUGGCCGGAAAAGAGUCGAUUCUUUGGAAGGCCCUAUCCUUUAGCAUUGGCAUAUUUAUCGUCUGCACGUUAAGACGCCGUCUCAAAAACCUUGUUGACACAAACUUCACGUCAAUUCAUGAAUAGUUAGAUAUUCAUACUAUUUAUUUUUUAUUACA